GGCAUCACUUAAUAUUGAAAACUCCGGUGGAUAGAGAUGGGCACGCGCAAGAUUAGAUAGUUGGUGGGGUAACGGCCUACCAAGUCGAUGAUCUUUAGGGGGCCUGAGAGGGUGAUCCCCCACACUGGUACUGAGACACGGACCAGACUCCUACGGGAGGCAGCAGUGAGGAAUAUUGGACAAUGGGUGCAAGCCUGAUCCAGCCAUCCCGCGUGAAGGACGACGGCCCUAUGGGUUGUAAACUUCUUUUGUACAGGGAUAAACCUAGAUACGUGUAUCUAGCUGAAUGUACUGUACGAAUAAGCACCGGCUAACUCCGUGCCAGCAGCCGCGGUAAUACGGAGGGUGCAAGCGUUAUCCGGAUUUAUUGGGUUUAAAGGGUCCGUAGGCGGAUCAUUAAAUCAGUGGUGAAAUCUCAUAGCUUAACUAUGACACUGCCAUUGAUACUGCUGGUCUUGACUAACGCACACCUAUCUGGAAUAAGUAGCGUACCGGAGAACUGUCCGCCAUAUCUACUUUCAACACCAAGCGCAAACGCAGGUUACUAUGUCCUAUCUGACGCUGAUGGACGAACGCAUGUGGAGCGAACCGGACUAUAUACACUGGUAGUCCACGCUGCAAUUGAUGCUGACUCGUUAUUGCGUUUUUGGAUUCAGAAACUAUCCAUAACUGAAUAAUUAGCAAAUAGCGGAGUGCUAAU
rnacentral:rRNA from 1 species